GAAAAAGUUUAAUUGCUUGAUACAUAUUGUAGAUUGAUCUGCAACUGUAGUUGCCACCAUUUCAGAUAGAUAAUUCAUUCAUCUUGUCGUCAACAUAAACUUAUGGUAUCAAUAAAUACAGUACAAUACUGUAAACAUAUGUUCUUUUCUUUAAGAUUUUGUUAAUAAUUUUUUUCUCUUGCUUAUUUUAUAAUAAGAACACAGCAUGUGACACAUGUAACAUACACAAUACGUUUUUUUUUUUUUUUCGAGACGGAGUCUCGCUGUCGCCCAGGCUGGAGUGUAGUGGCGCGAUCUCGGCUCACAAUAUGUAUUAAUUGACAAUUUAUGUUACAGAGAUGGAGGUCUCACGAUGUUACCCAGGCUGGAGAGCAGUGGCUACUCACAGGCGGGAAUCCCAAGAUGGCCUCCAACUCCUGGACUCAUGCUAUCUCACCUCAGCUUCCUGAGUAGCUGAGACUACAGGCACACACCACCAUGUCCAGCUUCAAUAUCCUUUUAUGUAAGAUGAUGGAACUGAGCUCAUUGAUGUGAGGUGACUUGUUGAAUGUCAUGCGGCUGCAAAUCAUGAGGCUGGCAUCUGAGCUCGGUUCUGAGUGCAGGGACCACAUGCUCUGUCUAUAUGUUACACUCUCCAACCGCAACUCCAACCUGCCACCCACUCCUGAUGAGCCUCUCCGUCUGCAUGACCAUGUGCCCUGCUGUGGUAGGCAGAAUAACAAACACCCACAGGCACCCACAUCCUAAUCCCCAGAACCUGUGAAUAUGUUAUGUUACAUGGCAACAGGGAAUUCAGGUGGCAGGUGGAAAUAUGUUUGCGAACCAGUCGAUCGUGAGAUAGGGGCAUUAUCCUGCGUUAUCAGGGUGGGUCCAGGGUGAUCACAGGAAGAAGGAGGCAGAGGACAGAGUCAGAAAAUGUAUGAUGACAGAAGCAGUGAUUUUAUGUGAGAAAGACUCAACUUGCCAUGCUGGCUUUGAAGAAUGAGGAAGGAGCCACGAGCCAAGGAAUGCCGGCAAAUUCUAGAACUGGAAAAGGUAAGAAAACAGAUUCUCUCUGUGAGGGUUAAUUUUGUGUGUCAACAUGAUUGAGGCCAUGAGGUGCACAGAUUAAAUAUUAUUUCCAGGCAUGUCUGUGAGGGUGUUUCCAGAUGAGAUUAGCAUUUAUUUAAAUCGGUGGACUCAGUAAAGUAGAUGGCCCUCCUCAGUGUGAGUGGCCCUCAUCCAAUCCUUUGAGGGCCUGAGUAGAACAAAAAUCAGAGGAAGGAAGGAUUUGCUGGCUCUGCUUUGCUGCUUGAGCAGACAUGCCGUCUUCCGCCCUUGGAAUGAGAUUUACAACAUUGGCACCCUGGCUCUCAGGUCUCUGCACUUGGUCUGGAAUCACGUUAUUGGCUUUCCUGGGUCUCCAGCUUGCAGACAGCAGAUUGUGAGACUCUUCAGCCUCCAUACUUGUGUGAGCCAAUUUUUCACUACAUAUAUAUUUCCUCUUGGUUCUGUUUUUCUGGAAAACCUUGACUAAUACACUCUACUGCAGCAUCCAAAAAAGAAAUGUAGCCUUUUUGAUAUCUUGAUUUUAACAUAAUGAGACUCAUUUUGAUAUCUGACCUCCAGAACUGAAAGAUAGUAAAUUUGUAUUGCCUAAGCAACUAAGUUUGUGGCAAUUUGCUAUAGCAGCCAUAGAAAUUUAUUACACCUGCUAUGACAGAAGGAAGACCUGAGUUAGUAGUGGCCCUGGACCAAACCAGGGAACACUGGCAAGAGCAGCCAAGCAAGACCCUCUGCAAACAGACAAAGCAUGCAGCCAAACACAGGUGUAAAACAAGAGAUCAGUUAUUUCCUCUCAUAUGCCAAGCACUGUGGGGCAGGAGGUGGAGAAACAUGUUACAAGUACAAAACUAAGCAGGAACAUGGCAAGGGGUGAGACAGCCUGGUACACAGGACAUCUGCCAUGUCAAAUAAUAACUGCCAUUUUGUCUAAAUUAUAAAAAUGUUGAAUGAUUUCUUACACUUAACUGACUUUUAAAUAUUUAUUCUAUUUAACUCAAAAUUAAAUAAGUUUUGACAAUUAGAUAAAGACAUAGGGAUGUUCAUUUGUUUGCCAUUAUUACUAAUUCAUUCAUCUUCAAAAACAAUCUAAACUAAAUGUUAUCUAAUUCCAAUUAUAUUCAAGGACUUUCAAAAUUUAUAAGGAAGGAUGAGGAUGCAUAUUCAGAUAUACAGUGAUGAGACCACUCUGUAUGGAUUUGGGUUUUUAAGACUAGGUCAUCAUAGAGACUUAAGUGUGAAUUCUCAUUUUGCUCCUUCAUAUUUAAAUGAGCCAAGAUGAGUUACUUCUCCUCGAUGACGCUCAAUUACUUUUGGCUAUAAAAUAAAAAUAACAAUAUCUACCCUAGAGAAUUGUUGUAAAGAUUAAAUUGGACAGUGUGUGUGUGUGUGUGUGUGUGUGUGUGUGUGUGUAUUUGAAGCACAGAUGAUUGUAUUAUAUAAAAUAGAGAUACUAAAAUCUACUUUGCAGUGUUGUUAAAAAAGUUAGAGUUGUUGUCUUAGAAAUGCCUGACAUUAGAAAAAAGAGCCCUUGUACACUGUUGGUGGGAAUGUAAAUUAGUACAGCCAUGAUGGAAAACAGUGUGAAGGUUCCUUGGAAAAUUAAAAAUAGAGCUAUCAUAUGAUCCAGCAAUCCCACUGUUAAAUAUAUAUAUAUCCAAAAGAAAUGAAAUCAGUGUGUUAAGGAGUUAAUCUCCACUUCCAUGUUCAUUGAAGCAUUUUUCGCAAUAGCCAAGAUACAGAAUCAACAUAGGUGUCCCUUAGCAGAUAAAUGGAUUAAGAAAAUGUGGUGUAUAUAUACACAAUGGAAUACUAUUCACCCUUUAAAAAGAAGAAAAUCCUGUCAUUUGUGACAACAUAGAUGAGACCGGAGGACAAUAUGUUAAGUGAUAUAAAACAGGCACAGAAAGAUAAAUACUGCCUGAUCUCACCUUUAUGUGCAAUCUAAACAACUUGAGCCCAUAGAAACAGAAAGUAAAAUGGCAGUUACCAGAGGCUGGGAGAGGAGGGAAUUGGGGAGAUGUUGGUCAAAGGACAUAAAAUUUCAGUUAGACAGGAGGAAAAAGUUUGAGAGAUCUAUUGUACAUCAUGGUGGCUACAGGUAAUAACAAUACAUUGACUACCUGAAAAUUACUAAAAGAGUAGAGUUUAAGUAUUUUCACCACAAAGAAAGAUAAGCAUGUGAGGUAAUGCCUAUGCUAGUUAGCUUGAUUUAGCCAUUCCACAACACAUAAAUACAUGAAAACAUCAUAUUUUGCACCAUAAAAUUAUACAAUUUUUACUUGUCAAUUAAAAAAAAGAAAUUUGAAAGAGGAAAUGCUUGACAUUAUACCUUGCAUAUAACUGAGUCUCAACGGUAGUUAUCACCACUAGGGCCACUGCCACUUUCAUUACUAUCCAACUCUUGUGGUCACCAAGGGGCAAAGAGAAUCAUAAAGAAAACUCUAACCCCACCCUUGUGGGGUUAGAGUUUUUGAGAAAGGAGCUGAAGACUAGGGUUUUUCCUACUCCUUCAAGAUCUUGUUUGUGUCCUGAUUUUGGGGUAUAAAAUUGGAUUGAAUUUACUUUCUGUUUAAAAGAUGAUCUUGACCUUGGAGGACUGAAGUUUUAGGAGAAACAAAGCAAACAUAAAGCUGGUUGCUUAAGCUUGGUUUUUAGAAAAAAUAAAGGGAGAUCUUUGGGUUCACCAGAAUUGGAAACAGAAAUAGUACAUUUUCAUGUUGACUUUCCUUCCUAAGCAAUGUACCUGAGAUGUGAUGCUCAAACAGGUUAUAGUGACGCCUGGGCUAUUGGCCUUAUGAUCAAAGUUAGUUUUCACAAAGAAGCAAUUAACUCAACACUAGCUAUAUAUGCUUUCCCAAUCAUACAAAAUAUAACUUUUAAAACCACAGCAUAACAAUAAAUUAGAGUUGACAAAACUAUUUAAGGGGAUAAAAAAUUUUACAUGAAGAUGAGUAGUAAUCUUAAUCUAAAAGAUCUUUCUCUGAUCUGAUUUUCCGUAAAACAAGUCUCUCCAUCCCAACACUUGAUUUGGGGAGAAUAGUCUCUCUCACUGAGGCCUUGAGGCAGUUCCAUCACCCCUUUUUCUGUUGCAGGAUUUAAUCAAGAUCCUUGGUUACUAAUGGGUUUCCUUGGUUUGAAGACUAGUGCAGUGUAAUUAUAGUCUCAUUCCACACGAUUUGUCUGAAGAGAGAAGUUAUCAGCGUAGACAGUUUCCUUUCAUCCUGAAGAAGUUAUAUUAAUCACUAGCAGGCAUCCUGCUAUUGUUUGCUAAUCCAUCACUAGCAUCUAUAUAAAAUUUAUCUUUUUACUAAAAGUGCUAAAAGAAAUCCCAGUUUAUUCUCAAAACUGUUUUUAAUAUUUUUUAAAGUUUCUUUAUGUGACAUAUUUCAUUUCUUUAUACCUGCCUUGUUCCACAGAGGACUUAAGCUGAAAAGUUUCUAUGGUUCCCCUAUUAUUUCUCUGACUAUUCUUUCUCAAUUUUUUUUCAAUGCUGAUGUUUCCCAAAAGCGAAUUUCUUCUCUGUGCUCAAGGAGCUCACAGCUGGUGGACAAGAUGUGUGGCAGUGUCAUACUGAUACCAUAUUAGGAUGAACGCAAGAUGAUGCAGGCAGAGAGUAAACGCAGAGUGAACAGCAAUGAGCACCGCCUGGAGGGGUCUCAGAGGGCUUCACAAGGACCUAACACUUGAAUUGGGUCUUGAAAUUGGAGUGAGAGUUUGGUGGACGAGGGUUUCAGAAAAGGCACUCCAGGUCGAAGAAGAACACAAAUAAGGCUCUGCAUCCAGGAAGGGUCAGAUGAGUGGAGACAUAUUUUGAGGCUGGGGAGUCAGGACAGUGACAAUGAAUGAGACAAAACUGGAAACAAGAAGAGCCAGAUUUUUUUUUUUCUUUAGACAGAGUCUUGCUCUGUUGCUCAGGCUGGAGUGCAAUGGUGUGAUCUCGGCUCACUGCAACCUCCGCCUCCUGGGUUCAAGCAAUUCUCCUGUCUUAGCCUUCCAAGUAACUGGGACUACAGGCACAUGCCACCACGCCCGGCUAAUUUUUGUAUUUUAGUAGAGAUGGGGUUUCUCCAUGUUGGUCAGGCUGGUCUCGAACUCCUGACCUCAGGUGACCUGCCCACCUCGGCCUCCCAAAGUGGUGGGAUUACAGGCGUGAGCCACCACACCCAGUCAGGAAGAGCUAGAUUUUAAAGGACUCUAUAUUAUCUGAGAAAUUUUUGGAUUUUAAUCCUGUAAAUACUUUGAGGAAAUGAAAAUGUACUAUGGGACCCAGUUGAACCUAAGAGAUAAGGUAUGCGAAGCCCUUGAUGGAAGUCCUCUUAAGACUUACUUGAUUUGAUUAAAAUUCAUGGGAGCUAAGGAAACUUCUGAGAAAAUAUCUCAAAUAAUGACAACUAUUGGGUUCUAGACAUCUACAGGAAUGCCUAACACACUGGAGACAACCAGUGGAAGCUAACCACAGAAGGUGCAGGGAUGCCUGACAGAGAAUCCACCCCAAGAGAAGAAAGAUUUGGUUCUCUGAGUCCAACUAGUAACAGAAUGAGAGAAUGGGAGAGAAGUGGUUCCAGGUAUAUGAUAAAUGUAUCCCUGACCUGGCCACCCUAAAGGGGUGCACAGGCCCUCUAGAGGUAGAAGAUAGAGUACAAACACUGUGUGAAAAGCCAACAAAAUGUUAAAACAUCAGAAAACAAGCAUAGGACCCUAUGACAGAGCCUAACAUUCAUCACAGGAAUUCACUUUCCAAUACAUAUCACAGCAAAGAAAUGUAUGAGUAAUUCUGAGCCAAUGAUGGCAGACCAGGCAUUAUGGGUGGUGGCCCAAGUGGAAUGAUGAGACAGUGCCCGGACAGUGGUCUGGGAGCAGUUGUGCCUGGGGCAAUAGAGGUAUGUUGGUUGUGAAAAGUCUGGUGUUGUAGGUGGUAGCCCAAAAGAUGAACCACAUGAUGCACAUGUGUAAUGUAACAUUUCCAGGCACUCACAGAAAACAAGAAGAGAAAGAGCCUUUUUAAGCUUGCAAUAUUUGGGUGUAUACUAUUAAUGCAACUUCACUAGCUCAAUGGAUUGCUAAGGUUACAGGUAGACUAUACCUCUUUAUAAGAAGGUGAGUGACAUGCUGUGGUUUACAUUUUAGAAGUGUCAUUCCAGGAGGUGGAAUAAAAGAUGCUUCAGAGAGGACAGGAAUAGUAGAAAAUUAAUUAGGAUAUUUAUAGUAUGUCCACAUUGAAGAUAAUAAGGGAUUGAUCAAAGGCAGCAAAAGUUAAAAGAAAAGGAAUGGAGUUUGAGAGAGAUUUUGGAAGUAGGAUUCAUUGGAGUUGGUGACACAGGAGAGGAGGGAAGAGAGAGAAGUUAAAGAACUACCCAGAUGUCUGGAAAUCCACUAUCUGGUGAUAGGGAAUUCAGGAGAGGCAGCAGAUUUCCAGGGAGACCUUGUCUUCCAAGAGAAUGUGAGCUGUGAAUGUGUAGGGACAUCAGGCCACAUUUGAAGAGACCAGAGCCUGGCACUGCUGACUUCAGCACUGACCCCAUUCUCUCCAUUGCCUUAAUGGCUUAAGGGUACAGAGAGUACUUAAGCAUUUUGGGAUCUCUUUCAACAUGGAACAUUGAGACAUUCUCUUAACAACUUCUUGUUUUGUUUUUUUCAUCUUUGAUAUAAUAAUAAUGUUCUUGGAUGAAAAUUUGUGAGCUAAUGCUUACCAAUCCCUUUGAGAACUUUGGCUGAAGGCCCAGUAUAAAUGACUUUAUGAAGUAUUCAUGAAUACUUCCAGCUUGCAUGUUUAGCCUGAAAAGAUAAAAAAGAACUACCUUUCUUUGAAAAGAUAUCUUCCUCAUAUGUUUGUUUUUUACUGAUUGACAGGUAAGAAAAUUGUGAGAGGAGGAAGAAAGGAAGCAAGAGGGAAUGAAUAACACUGGAAAUGCUACUAGGAUAAGUAUUUCUUCAGGCAUGGGCUUCAGAAAUCUAGGGAUCAAAAUCAUGCAAAGACAUCAUCUGGGCUUGUUCCAGGGAGGCAGGAUUCCAUUCCUCACUAUCAACAUAAUUCAUGGUUUCUGUUGGCUCUUGCCCAUGGAGGAGAGGAUCAGGCCCAAGCUUUGAGUACAUAUAGAGGCUGACAAUGCUCCGACAGGGACAGAAUACUGGGUAGUAAUCAGAGCCCACCCCUAACUUUCAGGAGGCAGAAAUGGACAGCCUUGGGCCCCUGAAAGUGACAGGCAACAGGGCUGCCUGGUGCUGAGCACUUUUAAAAAUAAGAAGUGGCUCAAUUAAUCGAUAAAAAAUGGUACACAUAAGCCAUGAAAACAGGGACCCACAAGCCAAAGACUGGACCAUCUACAUGAGCUGCUUAAACUUGUAAUGGGGCUGAGAAGGUCAUUCCCCCAAAAUGUGGUGGUUUGAGAUGUUAAACUGAAGAAGAAACAUCAAGGUCUCUCUCACCUCCCCACUUCUUGCCUCUCAAUCCUUUCUCUCUCCUAAAGUGCAGCAUAAAGUUGUUCCCUGAAGUUCCCUCAUCUGCCUAAAGUCCAGACCCAUCAAAGAUGAAAACAAUGAUCCCUGGUUCCUUCCCUGGGUUUUCAUUAACUAAACUCCUCUUACAGGAAGAAAGAUUAAAGUCUGUUAACACACCCAGACAAACUUUUGUCACAAACCGUCGUCUGCUCAAUGGGCCCAACAGAUCAUUGUCCCAGAUCAUUGUAUGUUUUUUAAGCCCAUUGAAUUGCCCUAAACAUUAUUUACUACUGUGCUGAAAUAAUCCACAAUUUCCCAUUUCCAUUUUCUCUAAGGAGAAGUGUAUAGAAGCAUCUGUACCCCAUUGUGUGAUGAGGUAAUCACUGUGGUUCACCCUGUGGAUGUUAAUAAAUUUGUGUGCCUUUUCUACUAUUAA